AGCAGGUCAGCUGAUACUCUCAUUCAAUGAAUGUCAUCCAGAUGGAGACAGAAGUGGUAUUCCUGACUGCUAGAAUGGAAGUACGCUCCAGGGGACCCUCCGUUUAUGUCAGACUACUUGAAGCAGAUUUGACACAGAACUAUGGAAUGGUGCCAGGGGCAUGCUGGCACUCUAAACCAGGAAUUAAACUUGGCUCUCUAAGC